GACGAACCUUGCUAACGUUAUUCGGAAUUACUGGGCUUAAAGGGUGCGUAGGCGGUGCAGCAAGUCGGGUGUGAAAGCCCUCAGCUCAACCGAGGAAUAGCGCUCCAAACUGCAAGGCUUGAGGGAGACAGGGGUAAGCGGAACUGAUGGUGGAGCGGUGAAAUGCGUUGAUAUCAUCAGGAACACCGGUGGCGAAAGCGGCUUACUGGGUCUCUUCUGACGCUGAGGAACGAAAGCUAGGGUAGCGAACGGG
rnacentral:rRNA from 1 species